GCAGAGUCCCCUGGAGGUCAUUUCCCUUGAGCUUUGUCCUCAUGGCAUAAGAGAUCAUUGGGUUCUACCCCAUGAGAUACAAUCAUUUUCCUCAAUAUUGCACAUGAAGCCAGGCAUAUUUCUACAACUUCCCAGAGUUCUGUGGACAUUGACUGAGGAAAUGAAUUAUGCAGGAAACAGUA
rnacentral:snoRNA from 1 species